AUAUUGCAGUUAUCCAUAAAUGGAAAGGCAAGAAGCCACCAAUACCUGUUUGAGAAGAUGGCAUUUUAAUUAGCACACUCCAGCUGCCAUAAACCCGGGCUCCUGCCCCACCUCUCUCCCCCACGCCCCCUCCUCCCCCUCCCCCGCCGUGCCCUCUCUCAACCUCCCUGCUCACCCCCAUCUAUGUAAAAAAGCCAUAAAGCCUCUCUCCAAUCGCUUUCUCGGAGGAAGUUUUUGCAACCCCCACAACACAGGUUGAUUGGAAAGGUCUCUCUCCUGGAUAACAACAAUUCAAUGUGCCUUGACAUUUUAAUAGCUUGCCGUCCUGGUGAACACAAUCGAGCAAGGCAGUGAAGCAAAAAUCAUUAGGUGGCUGGACUCAGACACAUCACGCUCCAGUUUGGGUUCCAAGGUGCUUCUCUCUGGAUUUUCACCUGCCUUGCCAAAAAUGAUUGAUUACGCUGGGCCAACUGGGUGUCCGGCAAUACCCAACAAAUGACUUUGGCCCCUAACAGCAGGCCUUGGCCAGAUAGAAAUCAAUAUUUCACCAUUAAAAUCUAUCAAAGAAGAGUUAAGGCACCAUCUGUCCCUGCCGCCUCUCUAUGAGCCACAGAAGAACAGAGUAUCAAGAAAGGGAUCAGAGCAUUUCACCUCUUCUGGUCCACAUGCUCUUUGGCCAGCAAGGAUUUGGGAACCAUGCUGAAAUCAACCACCCAAUGAUGAGGAAGGAUUUCAGUGAAUCUCCUGAAAGAGAUCUAGAGAAAAUUUUUUCUACCCAGUGUUGUCAGUGCAAAUUCAG
rnacentral:lncRNA from 1 species